rnacentral:rRNA from 1 species
CCUACGGGUGGCAGCAGUGAGGAAUAUUGGUCAAUGGACGCGAGUCUGAACCAGCCAUGCCGCGUGCAGGACGACGGCUCUAUGGGUUGUAAACUGCUUUUGUAAGGGGGUAAACGCAGAUACGCGUAUCUGUCUGAAAGUAUCUUACGAAUAAGGAUCGGCUAACUCCGUGCCAGCAGCCGCGGUAAUACGGAGGAUUCAAGCGUUAUCCGGAUUUAUUGGGUUUAAAGGGUGCGUAGGUGGUCGGAUAAGUUAGAGGUGAAAUCCCGAGGCUCAACUUCGGAAUUGCCUUUGAUACUGGUAGGCUAGAGAACAGUUGAGGUAGGCGGAAUGCAUGGUGUAGCGGUGAAAUGCUUAGAGAUCACAAAGAACACCGAUUGCGAAGGCAGCUUACCAAGCUACUUCUGACGUUGAGGCACGAAAGCGUGGGGAGCAAACAGGAUUAGAUACCCUGGUAGUC